rnacentral:rRNA from 1 species
GAAGGGGGCUAGCGUUGCUCGGAAUCACUGGGCGUAAAGGGUGCGUAGGCGGGUCUUUAAGUCAGGGGUGAAAUCCUGGAGCUCAACUCCAGAACUGCCUUUGAUACUGAAGAUCUUGAGUUCGGGAGAGGUGAGUGGAACUGCGAGUGUAGAGGUGAAAUUCGUAGAUAUUCGCAAGAACACCAGUGGCGAAGGCGGCUCACUGGCCCGAUACUGACGCUGAGGCACGAAAGCGUGGGGAGCAAACAGGAUUAGAUACCCUGGUAGUCCACGCUGUAAACGAUGGAAGCUAGCCGUUGGCAAGUUUACUUGUCGGUGGCGCASUAACGCAUUAAGCUUCCCGCCUGGGGAGUACGGUCGCAAGAUUA